rnacentral:RNase_P_RNA from 1 species
GCGGAAGAUCGGGCAGCCGCUGCAGAAAUUUUCUGCAGAGGAAAGUCCGGGCACCACAGGGCAGGAAACCCCGUGAUGAGCGGGGGGCCCGUAAGGGUAUGGAAAGUGCCACAGAGAAUAGACCGCUCCUGCUCUUUUGGGGGCAGGGGUGAGACGUGAAAAGGCGGGGUAAGAGCCCACCGUCCCGAAACUUUCGGGAGCUGGUAAACCCUUUCCGGUGCAAGGCCAAGUAAAGGGGGAUCCUGUUUACAGGACGAAGUGGUCCGCUUCGAUUCUCCCAGGGUAGGCUGCUAAAUGUCCCGUGAAAACGGGGCCAGAUAAAUGGCUGCCUCUUCUGUUAUGCAGAAAAGACAGAACCCGGCUUACAGAUCUUCCGCCAUU